AAUCGACGCUGGCGGCGUGCCUCAGACAUGCAAGUCGAACGCGAAAGUCCCCUUCGGGGGACAAGUAGAGUGGCGCACGGGUGAGUAACACGUAGGUAAUCUACCUUCGGAUGGGGAAUAACAAUCGGAAACGGUUGCUAAUACCGCAUAAUGCAGCGGCACCUAAUGGUGACAGUUGUUAAAGCGGGGGAUCGAAAGACCUCGCGUCUGAAGAGGAGCCUGCGGCGGAUUAGCAGUUGGUAAGGUAAUGGCUUACCAAGGCGACGAUCCGUAACCGGCCUGAGAGGGCGGUCGGUCGACACUGACACUGACA
rnacentral:rRNA from 1 species